rnacentral:rRNA from 1 species
UACGUAGGGGGCAAGCGUUGUCCGGAAUCAUUGGGCGUAAAGAGCGUGUAGGCGGCCUGGUAAGUCCGCUGUGAAAGUCCAGGGCUCAACCCUGGAAUGCCGGUGGAAACUGUCAGGCUCGAGUCCGGAAGAGGCGAGUGGAAUUCCGGGUGUAGCGGUGGAAUGCGUAGAGAUCCGGAGGAAGACCGGUGGCGAAGGCGGUCUGCUGGGCAGUUUCUGACACUGAUGCGCGACAGCGUGGGGAGCAAACAGG